GACGUAGGGGGCCAGCGUUGUUCGGAAUUACUGGGUGUAAAGGGUUCGUAGGCGGUGUGGCAAGUCGGGAGUGAAAUCUCUGGGCUCAACUCAGAGACUGCUUCCGAAACUGCUGUGCUGGAGUGUGGGAGAGGCGCGUGGAAUUGCAGGUGUAGCGGUGAAAUGCGUAGAUAUCUGCAGGAACACCCGUGGCGAAAGCGGCGCGCUGGACCACUACUGACGCUGAGGAACGAAAGCUAGGGGAUCAAACAGG
rnacentral:rRNA from 1 species